rnacentral:lncRNA from 1 species
ACACUGCCCGAUAGAGGAACCUGCGAGCGAGAGAGAGAGAGAGAGGAGCGCGAGAGCAAGAGAGAGGCGAGGGCGCGAGAGAAAGCGAGAAACUGAGAGAUGGCGAGAGGUGUGCGGGAGAGAGCGACAAACAGAGAGAGAGAUAGCGAGAGCUGUGCGGGAGAGAGAAGUGUAGUAGUAGGGUUUGGGUUAGCUUUAGCAAAAAGUAAAAAGGGGGUGAGCUUAUAACCUACUGUGCUAGAGGAUUAAUAUCAACCUUUGGAUCUGAGAGUUGUAGGAUAUACACCCAAGGAGAUAUGUCCAGAUAGACUUUUCCUUCUUAUAAGUACUCUUUCACAGCCAACCUCUCUCCCACGCUCUUAUUUUCCCUCCAACUCUCCCUCUACUUACUCUUUCUAAAAAGGGGGAAAGAAAACCUAGAGCCACCCUCGUGGGAUCUUGGAGCUCCACCAUAUUGUCGGCUUGUAGCAAAGUUGUAAAUAGCAGAUAGCGGGUAUAUAACGUUUGGAGAGUUUCAUAUCGAAAAGCAGAUAGCGGGCGCCAUAACGAGCAAUAUGAACCCAUAGCGGGUUUUAUAAAAACAAAUUUAAUAUGUUUAUAUAUAUU